UUGUAUAAACAAAACUAUUCGCCAGAGUACUACCGGCAAUAGCUUAAAACUCAAAGGACUUGGCGGUGCUUUAUACCCUUCUAGAGGAGCCUGUUCUAUAAUCGAUAAACCCCGAUAAACCUCACCAUUCCUUGCUAAUCCAGUCUAUAUACCGCCAUCUUCAGCAAACCCUAAAAAGGUACAAAAGUAAGCACAAUCAUAAUACAUAAAGACGUUAGGUCAAGGUGUAACCUAUGGAAUGGAAAGAAAUGGGCUACAUUUUCUAAUAUAAGAAAAUCCACUACGAAAGUUAUUAUGAAAUUAGUAACCAAAGGAGGAUUUAGCAGUAAACUAAG
rnacentral:rRNA from 1 species